CUGCUCACCAUUUCUGUAAUGGCUGCUUCCUUGAAGUAGGCGCUGUCACGUGGAAUCUCUUAGCCUCUGCAUCCGGAGCUGCUGGAAGGGAGUCAGAUAGAAUUCAGUACCGCUUUCUUUGAGAUCAUCCUUCAAGAACCAGCCACAUCAUGAUCUCAGUUUCAACACAGUUGUUCCUAGUCCUCUUUUCAUUGCUUUUGGUGCUGCCUGUUGUUGAAGCAGUAGAAGCCGGAGAUGCAAUUGCUCUCUUGUUAGGUGUGAUUCUCAGUAUUACAGGCAUUUGUGCUUGUUUGGGGGUGUAUGCACGAAAAAGAAAUGGACAGAUAUGACUUUGAAGGGCCUCCUGAAUCAAACCUUCCUCUGAAAACCUUUGUGCUAUUGAGUUUCAGAACUGAGCUUUGGUGUCUGAAAGUUCCCAAGAAACAGUUAAUAGAGAAGUUUCAAUUUAUUGGGUAUUUUCCUAUAAAAAGGAACAAAUUGAUAUACUGUGUUAAAGGUAAAACAACAUGUUUUUGUCACAACAGAUAAUGCACUGGAAAAUGCCAUCUGUAAUUUGCAUUUGCUGAAAUUUGCAUAAGUAAUAUUUCAUAGUUUCAGAAUUCUCAGUAGGAAGAAAGAAACUCUUGCCCAGAAUCCUAGGAAAUUGCCACUGUUCAGUUAUAAUCACUGCCUCCUGCAUCAUUGAGGAAUUUUUCUCCAUAUUUUUAUUGGAUUUUUGUUUUGUUAUCUCCAAGUUAGUACUGUACCUAGACAUUAAAUACAGUUGGUCAGAAAUUAAAACUUAUCUCUGUGUGGGAAAAAGUUCAGAAAAUGUAUUCAAUGUAUCUAACAUUGAAAUGGAGAGAAGAUUUAAUGUAAAAAAAAUACUUUAUAUUGACAUUGAAAUGGAGAAGAGAUUUAUUGUUUAACAAAAACAAAAAAUGUUUAUAUUAAUUAAGUAACAUCUCCAUGGUGAGAAAUACUAUGUUAAGUAUAAACCUAUUAUGUAAGUUAAAAAAAAAAAAAAAA
rnacentral:lncRNA from 1 species